GAUAGCUGGUUCUCCGCGAAAGCUAUUUAGGUAGCGCGUCGUGUGAUUACCGCCGGGGGUAGAGCACUGGAUGGGCUAGGGGGGCGCGAGCCUUACCAAACCUAACCAAACUCCGAAUACCAUGGAGUAAUGCGAGGCAGACACACUGCGGGUGCUAAGGUCCGUAGUGAAGAGGGAAACAGCCCUGACCGCCAGCUAAGGUCCCUAAGUUAUCAC
rnacentral:rRNA from 1 species